rnacentral:rRNA from 1 species
GAGUUUGAUCAUGGCUCAGGACGAACGCUGGCGGCAGGCUUAACACAUGCAAGUCGAACGCCCCUUCGGGGGAGUGGCAGACGGGUGAGUAACGCGUGGGAAUCUACCCAGUUCUACGGAACAACAGUUGGAAACGACUGCUAAUACCGUAUACGCCCUACGGGGGAAAGAUUUAUCGGAAUUGGAUGAGCCCGCGUAAGAUUAGCUAGUUGGUGGGGUAAUGGCCUACCAAGGCGACGAUCUUUAGCUGGUCUGAGAGGAUGAUCAGCCACACUGGGACUGAGACACGGCCCAGACUCCUACGGGAGGCAGCAGUGGGGAAUAUUGGACAAUGGGCGCAAGCCUGAUCCAGCCAUGCCGCGUGAGUGAUGAAGGCCUUAGGGUUGUAAAGCUCUUUCAGUAGGGAAGAUAAUGACGGUACCUACAGAAGAAGCCCCGGCUAACUUCGUGCCAGCAGCCGCGGUAAUACGAAGGGGGCUAGCGUUGUUCGGAUUUACUGGGCGUAAAGCGCACGUAGGCGGUUUGUUAAGUCAGAGGUGAAAUCCCGGAGCUCAACUCCGGAACUGCCUUUGAUACUGGCAAGCUAGAGUCCGGAAGAGGUAAGUGGAACUCCUAGUGUAGAGGUGGAAUUCGUAGAUAUUAGAAGAACACCAGUGGCGAAAGCGGCUUACUGGUCCGGAACUGACGCUGAGUGCGAAAGCGUGGGGAGCAAACAGGAUUAGAUACCCUGGUAGUCCACGCCGUAAACUAUGAGAGCUAGCCGUUGGGGUGGUUUACCACUCAGUGGCGCAGCUAACGCAUUAAGCUCUCGCCUGGGGAGUACGGUCGCAAGAUUAAACUCAAAGGAAUGACGGGGCCCGCACAGCGGUGGAGCAUGUGUUAUCGAGCACGCGAGACUACAGCCCUGACAUGUCGACGUUCAGAGAUGAUCUCACUCCGUGACUGACACACAGUGCUGCAUGCUGUCGUCAGCUCGUGUCCUGAAUGUGGGUUAGUCGCAACGAGCGCAUCUCGUCUUAGUUGCAUCAUUAGUGUACUCUAGGAACUGCGGUUAAGCGAGCAGUGGAUGACGUCAGUCCAUGAUGUAGCUGCUACAACAGUGUCACAAUGUGUGGUUGAC